rnacentral:tRNA from 1 species
GCCUGGGUGGCUCAGUCGGUUAAGCGUCUGACUUUGGCUCAGGUUAUGAUCUCAUGGCUCGUGGGUUCGAGCCCCGUGUCGGGCU